AAGUCGAACGAAGUAGCAAUACUUAGUGGCAGACGGGUGAGUAACAUGUAGGUAUCUACCCUUUGGCCUGGAAUAACACGAGGAAACUUGUGCUAAUACUGGAUAAGUCUUUACGGAGAAAGCUUUAUGCACCAUUGGAUGAGCCUGCACUUGAUUAGUUUGUUGGUAGGGUAAUGGCCUACCAAGACUGUGAUCAAUAGCUGAUUUGAGAGGAUGAUCAGCCACAUUGGGACUGAGACACGGCCCAAACUCCUACGGGAGGCAGCAGUGGGGAAUCUUGCACAAUGGAGGAAACUCUGAUGCAGCGAUGCCGCGUGAGUGAAGAAGGCCUUUGGGUUGUAAAGCUCUUUCGUCGGGGAAGAAAAUGACUGUACCCGAAUAAGAAGGUCCGGCUAACUUCGUGCCAGCAGCCGCGGUAAUACGAAGGGACCUAGCGUAGUUCGGAAUUACUGGGCUUAAAGAGUUCGUAGGUGGUUGAAAAAGUUGGUGGUGAAAUCCCAGAGCUUAACUCUGGAACUGCCAUCAAAACUUUUCAGCUAGAGUAUGAUAGAGGAAAGCAGAAUUUCUAGUGUAGAGGUGAAAUUCGUAGAUAUUAGAAAGAAUACCGAUUGCGAAGGCAGCUUUCUGGAUCAUUACUGACGCUGAGGAACGAAAGCAUGGGUAGCGAAGAGGAUUAGAUACCCUCGUAGUCCAUGCCGUAAACGAUGUGUGUUAGACGUUGGAAAUUUAUUUUCAGUGUCGCAGCGAAAGCGAUAAACACACCGCCUGGGGAGUACGACCGCAAGGUUAAAACUCAAAUGAAUUGACGGGGACCCGCACAAGUAGUGGAGCAUGUGGUUUAAUUCGAAGAUACGCGCAGAACCUUACCAACACUUGACAUGUUCGUCGCGACUCUAAGAGAUUAGAGUUUUCGGUUCGGCCGGACGAAACACAGGUGCUGCAUGGCUGUCGUCAGCUCGUGUCGUGAGAUGUUGGGUUAAGUCCCGCAACGAGCGCAACCCUCACUUUUAGU
rnacentral:rRNA from 1 species